rnacentral:SRP_RNA from 1 species
AGCUGGGUCUUGCGCAAUAGAGGGUUACAAACCCCGCCAGGUCCGGAAGGAAGCAACGGUAAGUAAUAUAUUCUAUGUGCCGCAAGGGUGCCUAGCUAUC